UGAAACAUGGUCAGAUUCUUAUCAACA
rnacentral:piRNA from 1 species